rnacentral:rRNA from 1 species
GACGAACGCUGGCGGCGUGCCUAAUACAUGCAAGUCGAACGAACGGAGGAAGAGCUUGCUCUUCCAAAGUUAGUGGCGGACGGGUGAGUAACACGUGGGCAACCUGCCUGUAAGUUGGGGAUAACUCCGGGAAACCGGGGCUAAUACCGAAUGAUAGAGUGUGGCGCAUGCCACGCUCUUGAAAGAUGGUUUCGGCUAUCGCUUACAGAUGGGCCCGCGGUGCAUUAGCUAGUUGGUAGGGUAAUGGCCUACCAAGGCAACGAUGCAUAGCCGACCUGAGAGGGUGAUCGGCCACACUGGGACUGAGACACGGCCCAGACUCCUACGGGAGGCAGCAGUAGGGAAUCUUCCGCAAUGGACGAAAGUCUGACGGAGCAACGCCGCGUGUAUGAAGAAGGUUUUCGGAUCGUAAAGUACUGUUGUUAGAGAAGAACAAGGAUAAGAGUAACUGCUUGUCCCUUGACGGUAUCUAACCAGAAAGC